rnacentral:rRNA from 1 species
UUCGGGUUGUAAAGCACUUUCAGUCGUGAGGAAGGUAGUGUAGUUAAUAGCUGCAUUAUUUGACGUUAGCGACAGAAGAAGCACCGGCUAACUCCGUGCCAGCAGCCGCGGUAAUACGGAGGGUGCGAGCGUUAAUCGGAAUUACUGGGCGUAAAGCGCAUGCAGGUGGUUUGUUAAGUCAGAUGUGAAAGCCCGGGGCUCAACCUCGGAAUUGCAUUUGAAACUGGCAGACUAGAGUACUGUAGAGGGGGGUAGAAUUUCAGGUGUAGCGGUGAAAUGCGUAGAGAUCUGAAGGAAUACCGGUGGCGAAGGCGGCCCCCUGGACAGAUACUGACACUCAGAUGCGAAAGCGUGGGGAGCAAACAGGAUUAGAUACCCUGGUAGUCCACGCCGUAAACGAUGUCUACUUGGAGGUUGUGGCCUUGAGCCGUGGCUUUCGGAGCUAACGCGUUAAGUAGACCGCCUGGGGAGUACGGUCGCAAGAUUAAAACUCAAAUGAAUUGACGGGGGCCCGCACAAGCGGUGGAGCAUGUGGUUUAAUUCGAUGCAACGCGAAGAACCUUACCUACUCUUGACAUCCAGAGAACUUUCCAGAGAUGGAUUGGUGCCUUCGGGAACUCUGAGACAGGUGCUGCAUGGCUGUCGUCAGCUCGUGUUGUGAAAUGUUGGGUUAAGUCCCGCAACGAGCGCAACCCUUAUCCUUGUUUGCCAGCGAGUAAUGUCGGGAACUCCAGGGAGACUGCCGGUGAUAAACCGGAGGAAGGUGGGGACGACGUCAAGUCAUCAUGGCCCUUACGAGUAGGGCUACACACGUGCU